GAGCCCGUAGCUCAGCUGGUAGAGCACUCGCCUUUUAAGCGAGUGGUCGCGCGUUCGAACCGCGCCGGGCUCA
rnacentral:tRNA from 2 species